AAUGUAAAUGAGCUAAAUACCUAAUUAAAAAAUGGGAAAAAAAAUAAAUAAAUAAAUAAAUAAAUAUUUGGGCAAGAAAAAAAAAUAAAAGGUGACUCACAAAAUUCUACCCCGAUCUACCACUGUAGAAGAGGCUUGAAAGUGACAUGGUGUAGUCACCUGACUUUUUCAUCUUGAGAAAAUCAUGAUCUCCACAAACAAAAGUCUUUUUUUAGACCAUGUUAAUGCAAGCAAUGACAGAUGGGAAGAACUUUUUAAUUCCUUUUGCAGUAAUGAAUUGAAUGAAUUUUGGGAUAAAAGCAGUAAUAGAAGGAUCAAUAGAUAUAUUGCUUGGUUAGAAAGUAGAGAAGAGUGGGAGAAUCAAAGAGUUGUUGCAUCAUUAUUUUGAAUGUAACAAUUUUGAUUAGAUUUCCAGAACAUUUAAUUACAUCUUGUCAGAAAUGAAGCAUAGGUAUUUAAAUAAGGUUAUCACUUCAUAUUGAAACAUAAUAAUAAAUUAAUUUUACACAAACCAUCAAGUAUACAUGCAAUUGAUUUCUAUGGUUUCAGAUGCUGCAGUAUAACUGCAUAGUAUGUUAAUCCUGAGUAUGGAGGUGACUCCAGCUGAAUCUCCUAGCAUUGGGGGAUAUGGAUGCUAAACUGGCCACUUCUGUAGCCAGACUGGACUCCCAGUUGAGAGAUAAGAACAGCAACCCACACAGAAAACCUUCCACCUAAUAUGUGUCCUGCUUAUGAGAUGUGCAGGGACAAACAGCAUAGACAGAGGGAAGGGAUAACCAAUGAUUGGCCUAUGUUGAGAUGCAUCCCAUCAUUACAUGUGUUUGGUAUGGAGACAUGCAUGUAGUCAAAACAAUCAUUCAACAUUAAAAAAUAAAAUAAAUCUUAAAAUAAUU
rnacentral:lncRNA from 1 species